rnacentral:lncRNA from 1 species
GAAAAACGAUAACAUCAUGAUAAAGUGACUACAUAUGUCUGCAGCUGCAAGGCAAAUAAAACACUGAAAUCACAUUAUCCAUCAUGCAAAAAAUAAAAGUCAUACUUAAUCCUUAAAAUCAAUUAAAAAAAAAUGAAAAAAUAACUAAUGUGAUCUCCCAACAAUGGCCAUCGAACAUGUUUUUUUAUUGUGGUAGCCAACUCGGUUGCACCGACUGCACUUAAUCUUCCGUUUGAUCUUCUCUGUCAAAUAUGACUACUCUGUUAAACAUAUGCAGCACUACAAAAAAAAGGACAAAUAUAACUAAGCUGUUAAACAUGACUACUCUGUCAAAUAUGUCUACUCUGUAAAAGACACUGCACUACAACAAAUAAUCUUGUAAUUCAAUGGGUUUUCCAAAUCUAAACAUUCAGAAUAUGCAGAAUAACACAAAAAUCAAUAAAAUCCAAAAUAAUUGAAAAUCAAUGUAUGCGUUCAUAACAAACAUAUAAUAGAACUGAAAAUUCAGAUCCAUAACAUAUUCUAUUCCUAGUUCGACAAUUAAUUCGAGAUUUUUUUUUUUUUUUUGCCAAUUAAUAUAGUAUAUAUUGGUAUUCCACGUUGAGACAAGGGGAGUCUCCAUGGAGAAAUCAUACAUCUGACGGAGGCGGCGACAAGGUGGGGAAGGCAACACCGCCAAUUGUAUCAGGCGUCGAUGUGGUGGUGUUGGACGAGGGGAAAGACGAUCUCCAACAUCGGCGGAGGAGGGCCUCCUGCAACGGGUUUCGGCCGGCGGCAUUUGAAGGGUAUUGUUGGCUCCGGCGGCGGCGGUUUACAGAUCGGAAGAAAGAAAAAGAAACUAUUGA